GACGAACGCUGGCGGCGUGCUUAACACAUGCAAGUCGAACGAAGAGCGAUGGAAGCUUGCUUCUAUCAAUCUUAGUGGCGAACGGGUGAGUAACGCGUAAUCAACCUGCCCUUCAGAGGGGGACAACAGUUGGAAACGACUGCUAAUACCGCAUACGAUCUAAUCUCGGCAUCGAGGAUAGAUGAAAGGUGGCCUCUACAUGUAAGCUAUCACUGAAGGAGGGGAUUGCGUCUGAUUAGCUAGUUGGAGGGGUAACGGCCCACCAAGGCGAUGAUCAGUAGCCGGUCUGAGAGGAUGAACGGCCACAUUGGGACUGAGACACGGCCCAGACUCCUACGGGAGGCAGCAGUGGGGAAUCUUCCGCAAUGGACGAAAGUCUGACGGAGCAACGCCGCGUGAGCGAUGACGGCCUUCGGGUUGUAAAGCUCUGUUAAUCGGGACGAAAGGCCUUCUUGCGAAUAGUGAGAAGGAUUGACGGUACCGGAAUAGAAAGCCACGGCUAACUACGUG
rnacentral:rRNA from 1 species